rnacentral:lncRNA from 1 species
CCAUGUCCCAGCGCAUCAGCAUUUUUAUAAUGAGUGGGGAAAGGUCCCGAGGGCAAAAGGUCGACUUUUGGACAAGAGGAAGAUGAAUCCGUUCUCCCUGUCCCUCUGCUGCCUGAAUCACCUGGAGCAGACAGACCUGGACUUUGUUACAGGAAAACAGAGAGCUGCACGCUGUCUCCGUGGGCACAGACACAGAGGAGAGGAGGCAAAGACCAGUGGAGAGGAAUGAGGUGAACUUUCAUGCA